GAGUUUGAUCUUGGCUCAGAUUGAACGCUGGCGGCAUGCCUUACACAUGCAAGUCGAACGGCAGCAUGAUCUAGCUUGCUAGAUUGAUGGCGAGUGGCGAACGGGUGAGUAAUACAUCGGAACGUGCCCUGUAGUGGGGGAUAACUAGUCGAAAGAUUAGCUAAUACCGCAUACGACCUGAGGGUGAAAGUGGGGGACCGCAAGGCCUCAUGCUAUAGGAGCGGCCGAUGUCUGAUUAGCUAGUUGGUGGGGUAAAGGCCCGACCAAGGCGACGAUCAGUAGCUGGUCUGAGAGGACGAUCAGCCACACUGGGACUGAGACACGGCCCAGACUCCUACGGGAGGCAGCAGUGGGGAAUUUUGGACAAUGGGCGAAAGCCUGAUCCAGCAAUGCCGCGUGUGUGAAGAAGGCCU
rnacentral:rRNA from 1 species